AUAUUCUAAGUAAAUGAUGUUUCAAGUGUUAUCUCUUACUGCUUCCCAAGGGUAACUUCCAGCCCAGCCAGGCGGGGCAAGAGAAAAUCCCUUAAACAUCCUCCCUCUUUAGUUUCCUCUACUCUGUACUUCAACUUUGUACCACUUCUGGCCAGUUCUUCAGCUCACUGAAAGCACGCUUGCCUGCCGUUUCUUCUGUUCACUGAAAGCUUCCCUGAAAUCAGUGCAGUGGACCUUCUCCUGCCCUUGGAUCAGCCUGGAGCACUAAGGAUCCUGCCAUCACAUGAACCUGGGUCUCCUUGGUCUCCCCACCCAAAUGGGGAGCUCCCUGAGAUUGUUGCCCUCAGCCCUCAUCAAACCCGCUCCCUGGUGAGGCGUGUUCUCCAAAUGUGGGAACAAAUUCACCCUCCGACAGAACAGGAGGAGAGCUCAACCGCGGCUGUUGACGUUUCCUUCCAGCUCUGCAACUUCUGCCUCGGCAGGUGCUACUGUUGGGUGGUGGAGAAAGGAGCCCCAAGCAAGGAACGGACAGCUAGUCUCUGGUCCCGCAGGCCCCAAGCUGUGUCCCCCAAAAAAACUGCAUAGGCCGGGGCAGCAGAAGCCUGGAUGUGAAGGUGCCCCAGGUUGCAGGAUGUUAAGACAACUGGUUUCCAUGGCCCCUUUUGUCUGAGGCCUGUUGGCUGUGGGGAGAUCCCCAAU